rnacentral:rRNA from 1 species
GGGCGUCUCUAUCUUUACGAUGGAGGCGCACCUAUAGCGCACACGCUGAUACCCGAAAGAUGGUGAACUAUGCCUGGCCAGGACGAAGCCAGGGGAAACCCUGGUGGAGGUCCGCAGCGAUUCUGACGUGCAAAUCGAUCGUCGGAGCUGGGUAUAGGGGCGAAAGACCAAUCGAACCAUCUAGUAGCUGGUUCCCUCUGAAGUUUCCCUCAGGAUAGCUUGCGCUCGGAGAGACGAGUCUCAUCCGGUAGAGCGAAUGAUUAGAGGCCUUGGGGUCGAAACGACCUCAACCUAUUCUCAAACUCCAAAUAGAUGAGAUCCCGGGCUUGCUUAAAAGUGAAGCCGGGACUCGGAUCAGAGUGCCAAGUGGGCCAAUUUU